UUGGGCAAGCAGCGGAAACAGCUCUUAAAUGCGGAGUUCAGGUGUUUCUGACACGUUUCUUGUAAAAAGCUUUGUUUUUGAGACUUCUCUUGUCUCAAGAGCUGAAGUGAAGUCUCUAUGGAUUUGACGUUUCGUCUGUCUGAAGUUUACCAGUCAUCAUCUGCUUUUGCCUCAGACUGACGGUGAUCCUGAUGACCCUGAAUUCUGAAUAGUCCAGCACCUUCAUUCUUGUGCAGUUUUUUGAAGGUCGUACUGUUUUGGCACAGGAGCACUCAUCUGGAUGCCUCGUCUCAGCAGGGCGACCCACAGAAAUACCUCCAUAAUAAUGGAAGCAAUGAUUGUUCACAAACAAUCAUCUGGAAGGCAGCCUGGCUGAUAAGAGAGACGACUUUAGCAAGGAGAUGGGUUAUGAACAUGGCAAUGAGAGGUGCUAGAUCUGAAAUAGGAAAGGCAGAGGCUCUACAACCUGUAAUCCUUGAGAGAGCUAAAGCCCUCGGCAGUCAAUGAGAGUGGCAAUCACUGAUGGAUCACCUUCUGACCCACCAGUCAUGGUGUAAAUGGGGGCAGCGGCAUUUCUCAGUGUGGUUUGUGUAAAGUUAAAUGUGGGUUGCUUGUCACCUGAUGGUGUAGAUUUGUGGCUGAAAAUACAGAGGGCAUGGGGUCAAUAUUUGGAAAGGGCGAACUAAAAAUGGUGUUUUAUCAACCUAGCCUUUCAAAGAACCAGUUAGACAGCUUAUUACCCAGGAUACUGUGGGUCAGGAAUGGAGAUGUGGUAGCUUUGCAGUUAAGGAUCUGUGCUCCAAACACUGUGGUUAGGUACUUUUUAGCUUUUUCUUUUCCAGAGAUUUGUCAGUAAAAUGUUGUAAUGCUUGGUCAUUUUCAAUCUGACAUUGAUAUCACAAGAAUGUCUGAGGGGAGAGCUCUGUUCGGGUUUGCCAAAUGUUGUGUUGAGGGUCUUUUUUUUUUAUUAUUAUUAUUAUUAUAUUUUUUUUAUAUGCUUUGUGUGCAGAAUAUAUCAGACAGUGAGUAGCCUGUAGAUGCUCUGUGGAAAAUGCUGUUUGAGACUAAAAUUAUGAUAUCCCAAAUAUCCAUAUGGACUGCAGUGUGUGAACUUGACUUUGGAAGCAUACAAGAAACUACUGGUUAAAACUAACUUUUUUUUCACCAGCAAAGGUAGAGAAUAAUUCAAUUAUCAUUAUUUACGAUUUACAAUUACAUUAAUAAGCUCAUUUUAACAUUGAUUCAUGUGGCCAGUUGACUGUAGUGAGAGCAUCAAUCUGUAAAUCAGGAUUGGAAACUUGAGUCAAGUGCAUCAUCACUGCCUUCCAAUAUUUCAUUUUAAAAAGACUUUUCCAGACAGGUAAUUAAGAGUUCCGCUUGGCGCCAGGAAUGGAUAUGGCUCCAUAAAUGAUUUGAGUUGAUGUUGGACAGGAAUUUAACUGAUUGAAAUGCACUGCUCUUCGUCACUCCUGGAGACACCGCUGGAAUUAGAAAGAGUUUAUGUUGUCUGCUUUGUGUUUUGUUGAGUUAAAAAAGAAGACAGAGAGAUAUGCUGUUCAAAAUGAAGACAAAAAAAUGUUGUGACACUGUGGUUCACAAAUGUUAGUAGAAUAUGUGCAUAUGUGAUGAACUACACCUGUGGUUACUCUGUAGGGCCUCUGUAUGAACUAAAAAUCACCAAAAUACUAGUCUUUUGGAAAAAUGGCUACGAGAAGUGAAGUUAGAAACUAAUAUAAUUUGUGUGCAAAUAAAACUGGGUUUGAUAUUUUGCUAUCUAAAGCAAUGAAAUUCAUACAUUUUAAGUGUGGCUUAAAAGUCCCAGUACUUUUUGGGGCCACUGUAAAUUGUUGCAGUUCAGUUGUGUGUAUUUGGUUUGGAGUGUGUGUUCUGCAAGCCUGUGUCUUUUCCAGCUAAAUGUGUAUUUUUUCCAUUACUAUGAAACAAAGCAUUCACUAAUAGGCAGAAAAACCCAUAAAGCAAAGUAAAGUGUUGAGGAAAUACAUUGAUGUUAUCUUCUUUAAAAACAAUAAGACGGCAGCAUAUUUGGUAUGAAUGCAGAGAGGGAGGGGCGGGCUUUAAAAGUGUUUUUGUGACUUGUUGAUAAGGCAUCUGUCACUCAGGUUGACAGACAGCUCUGGGAUGUAACUGUAAAUCUGUGUGUGUGUGUUUAUUGGAAAGAAAAUGGCUUUGAAUGACUUGUUUUAUCUGGCGGCUUAUAUCCUGCUCAUUUUCACUAUGGAGUCUCCUCAGCUCUAUCACUCCAUCUCUCUCUCUUUUUAAAUAGCUUUGUCUGGGAUGAAUGAAAGAGCAUUUAUCUCUCUCAUUUUUUGCCUUUUCUCCCGGGGUCCUGGGCUGAUUAGCUUAUGAACUGUGAGUGACAUUUGAGUGUUUGAUAUUGAGGCCUUUGUGCACUUCUGUG